rfam:Rattus norvegicus chromosome 14, whole genome shotgun sequence.
CUACGGCCAUACCACCCUGAACGCGCCCAAUCUCGUCUGAUCUCGGAAGCUAAGCAGGGUCGGGCCUGGUUAGUACUUGGCUGGGAGAAUGUAACAAUUGGGGCUGAGUAGU